AUGUCUAUACAUAGAAACCCACACCAACCCACCCUGCAACCUCAGCCAGCCUGGGACAGCAGUCUCUGCUCCUCUUCGAUGGACCGGCCCUGAUGGAGAAGAAGGAUCCAACCUUGGAAGGCAAGACUACAGUAGAAAGUGCCUUCAGGAGCCAGGAGACCAGAUGGCCUUUGAGAGACAACAGAGAGGAAGAAACAGAGACACAGCACUCCCCACAGGAUCCACCCUCGGCUUCAGACAGCCUCUGAUCACGAACAAGCAGCCCAGAGUACUCAGAGAGGUCUCCAGGUACAAACCUGGAACUUUCCCAUGCCGUCAGCUUCUCGGAGUGUCACGUCGUACCACUGCGUCACCACCUGGCCCCAACUCCUCCUCAUCCUUCACAGCCAGCUCGGAUAUUGUGAAGCCACCCUGACUUUUCCGCCACUCUUUCAGAACUGAGUUCAGCGCUCUGGAUUAGAAGUACUUAGGAGGGAUUUUCUUCUUUAAUAAACUAUGAACUUCUUAAGAAUAAGGACCAAGUUUCAUUAAAUUUUGCUCUCAGUAUAGAAAUAACAGAGCAUAGUAUCUGAUAAAUGAAUGAAAGAAUGACAUUAACAGAGAGGGAGAGGGUCUGGAAGAGGAGCCAACUGACAGUACUCGAGCUCGGAAAUCUCCUUCUUUAAGAAAAAGAGAACUUUACAGCAUGAGACGUGAGCCAGGUCCCUCUCAGCACUUUUGCCUGGCCACCUCACAGGAAUUAGCCUUUGACCUCCCCUUCCCAGCUCCUGGCCAUCUGAACUGCAAAUCGCCUGCCAACCCAAACAAAACCAUGUACACAGUGGUCAGGAGCCUGGGGCAGCUCAGAGGACGAGUGCUUCCAUGAUUUUCACAUGUAAGUCAAAAUUUCCAGACUGACCGGAUCCAAGUGUAUCCCACAGUCCGACUUGAAGCUCUCAUCGUAUGAUACAAGUCGUGUAAGGGAUCAAUUAGGACUGGGUAGUGUGGUUGGGAAUUCUUCCAAUAAGAAGCAGAAAAAAAAAAACAACAACCAGAAAGGAGCUUCCGGACCAGAAGGGAGGCUGGAUAAGUCUAUGAAAAUGGCACCAGGAGGAACUAGGGUGAGAGAAGAGACAUCUGAGAUUGUGGCUGGCCUGUCCCCAGCUUGCAAGAACUCAGGAAACCUGAGGGAGCCAGGCUGCUGAGGAAUGCGAGAACGUUUACAUCUCUCCCCUCACACCCACGCGGCCAUACUUUCUCUAUUUAUUUAUAGUGCCUCUUCACACAAACAAACUCAUUCCCCUCUGAGACAUAAGCUCUGCUCUGGGCUUUGGCACCCGAUGGGGGAGGCCUCUUAAGAGAAUCAGAAGAAAAACCUCAGCUGUCCUGUGGCUGAGCUGUGCAACCUUGAGAAAGGGACCACACUUCUCUGACUCCUUUCAUCUGGCAUGUGCCAGAUGUGUAGGAGCAUAGAACGGACUCAAAGGGGAGAAUCACUGGGCAAGGAGAGGCAGCUCUGUCACAGGACCAGGGGCAGGCGGCAGGGAUAGGACUAUUUAUAUUCGAUUCUGCCUUCAACACAGGCACUGAAGUUCAUAGACACUCAGAAAGUUAGGGACUCAGAGACUGUCCAAUGUGCUCAUUGUCCAGAUGUGGAAACUGAAUCCUAGAGAGGGCUCUGGACUUGCCUAAGACCACAGAUUCACAGAGCACAGACUCAGGCCAGUCUUUAGAUCUAGAGGGGAGACUCAGAGGAACAUCCAUCCUCCAAGGGACAGGAUGAGAGGACAUGGCUUUAACUAGAAAACACAAGAAUUCAGGGGAGACAUGAAGAAGAAUGCCUGAGGACAGAAAUGAGUAACAGAAGAAGGCUAUGGACAGCCUAGAGCAGGGAGAUGCCUGAAAUGAUCUC